GUCCCGUGUGGGUGAGGGACCUUGCUGCCAGGUUGUGGCCUGUGUCCAGGAGGCUCCCCGGUCCUGCGGGCGUGAUGAGUGAGCGUAUCUAGCAGUCACGGCUGAAGAAUCGUGUCUUGGCCCCCACCCGGCUGGACUCAGUCCCAGUGUCCUAGUCCCCGACUGAACUGCGGGCCUUGACGUUCAGGACGAUGGAGCGUUCGCAGGGGCCGGGUCUUCAUCCCAGAACCUAGUGUCGUGAGAUACAAAGGACUCAGGCAGAGGGAUCUGCAUGUGCAACGACUCAGAGGUGAGCAACCAUGCAAGAUCUGAAAGUUCUAAGUCCUGGGAAAAAGACAGAGCGGAGACGCAGGGCCCGCACUCUGGAGGGAGGACCAGCCCGGAGGGGGCCCCUGGGGCGCAGCUUCACUUCUGCAUUUCCCCGGUCAGAACCUUCUGGGACGAGCCUGAACAUUCCGUGCCUGGACAGUCCCUCGGGGAUUCGGACGCGCUCCCAGAAACAGCUCUAACUCGAAAUCCGGUGACGAGAUUUGGUCACUGCUGCACCUUUCCUCGCGAGAAGUGACAGGAGAAGUA